rnacentral:rRNA from 1 species
CGGUUGAUCCUGCCGGAGGACAUUGCUAUUGGGAUUCGAUUUAGCCAUGCUAGUCGAACGAGUUCACACUCGUGGCAGAUAGCUCAGUAACACGUGGCCAAGCUACCCUUCAGUCGGCAAUACCCUCGGGAAACUGAGGUUAAUGGCCGAUAUGGAACAGUCGCUGGAAUGCACUGUUUUCUAAAGACACCGCUGAAGGAUGCGGCUGCGGCCGAUUAGGUAGACGGUGGGGUAACGGCCCACCGUGCCAGUAAUCGGUACGGGUGAUGAGAGUCAGAGCCCGGAGACGGAAUCUGAGACAAGAUUCCGGGCCCUACGCGGCGCAGCAGGCGCGAAACCUUUACACUGCACGGAAGUGCGAUAGGGGAAUCCCAAGUGCGAGGGCAUAUUAGCCCUCGCUUUUGUUGACUCUAAGGCGGUCAACGAAUAAGAGCUGGGCAAGACCGGUGCCAGCCGCCGCGGUAAUACCGGCAGCUCAAGUGAUGUCCCAUAUUAUUGGGCCUAAAGCGUCCGUAGCUGGCCGCGCAAGUCCGUCGGGAAAUCCACCUGCCCAACAGGUGGGCGUCCGGCGGAAACUGUGUGGCUUGGAACCGGAAGGCUCAGAGAGUACGUCCGGGGUAGGAGUGAAAUCCCGUAAUCCCGGACGGACUACCGAUGGCGAAAGCACUCUGAGAAGACGGCUUCGACAGUGAGGGACGAAAGCUCGGGUCUCAAACCGGAUUAGAUACCCGGGUAGUC